UAAUAACUAAAAAAGAUAUACGAGUUGAAAAACCUUGAAAGUGGGAAAAAAAUAAAGGGCAUAGAUAAACGUAUCGUAUCGCAGAAACGUAAGUGCUAGCCGCUAGGAAAUGACCAUACAAGUACCUAUCAAAUGGUUUAAAUACGAGUGAAUUUUACAGCUAGAUCAAUUCAAAAAUGUUUAUAAGUAAAUAAGUAAGAAAAUUGAACGACUUACCAAUACCAACAGAAUGCUGAGAAAUUUUGAAGGCAUCGAUUAGUGAAGUACGAUGCUGCGCGUUGAAGUAUUCUUCAUUUCAAUUUGUAUUACCACCUUUGUCUGCUACUGCUACCCAUGGGAACCCCCGCCAGUCCCACCUCCUCCAGAACCAGAAUGGGCUGAGGGUGAGGUUGAUCCAAAGGAAUGGAGCUGGUAUGACGUCGAACAAGGAACGACAGGUAAAUGGGAGAGAGCGGCUCCCAGACAAUGUUAUUCCACCUAUCACUGUCAUCCUGAUGAAACAUGUGUCAGAGACGAUCUCCCCGGUAUGGUUACUCCGAUCGGAUGGUGCGUAUCGAACGAACCGAAUCCAUACGACUAGGCUCAAGCCCCCAUAAAUCAAGUACAGCUGGAAUUUGCAGUUCUAGAAGAAUCGGUGCAAAUAUGUAGAUGCAAAGGCAGCUAGGUACCACAACUCAGCAUAACAUAGGUAUAUCAUCUGUACGAUGUAUUGAACUUCAGUUAUACUCUGAGAUCAAAUAUACUCGUAUUGUUCGCUGACUUUACUAUUCCAUUAAUAAAAAACAGUCCACAAAACCACGUUCAGACUCAUGAGAAAAAGAACCGCACAGAACGAGAUGUCGUGAUCCAGAGAAAUGGUUCGAUUGCUCGAAGAGGAAGAUCGGAAAUCUCAAGGUGACUAAUUUACAAAAAAAUCCAUCGCACAAGAACGGACGAUGGAUUUCACCAGCUAGGAGCUCAACAAGUUCAAGCAAUCUGCUAUCUGAACAUACAGCAUCAUUCGUUCUCAUUCUUAUCUCAUCUUCCUCUCGUAAGCUUCCGUGAACGAAAUCGAAAUCGUAAUCUUUCAAAAUACAGUAAUUAUUAUUAACUUCUGAUAUCUAUACAUACGCAUGUAAUAAUGUUUACUUUGUAUAAGGUCAUUUCAACGAAUUUUUCAUACAUCAAUUUACGUACGUAUCACCGGUUCAAAUUCAACUCGUAGGUAUUUAGGUAAUUUGAAACGACUUUUCAUAAUAUUAUACUGAAUUUUUUGUAAAAAUUUUAUUAUGAAGACA